AUAAAAAAUUUUAUUAAUUUUAUAGGGUUAUUUAUUUUUAAAUAAAAUAUUUUAUUUGUUUAUUUAAAAUUUUUGAAAAAAUUGAUUUAAUUAUAGUGAAUAUAGUAUAGUGAUAGAUUAUUGAAAUAAUUUGAAAAUUUAUAUAUUUAAAAGAAAAUUUUAAAUUUUGUACCUUGUGUAUCAGGGUUUAUUAAAUAAAAAUUAUAGAUAUUAAUUUUCUCGAAUUUAAAAGAGUUAAGAAAUUAUAAAUUUUAUUGUAAAAUAAAUAUUUAAAAUAAUUUUUUAGUAGUGAAAUGCUAGUCGUUUUUAAAUUUAUCUAGUUUUUUAAGAAAUAAAUUUAAUUUAGUUAAUUAUUAUAAUGAAUAUAAUUUUUUAUUUUAUUUAAGUAAUUAGUAAAUAUUUUAAGGGAUAAGCUUUAAAGUAAAUUUUUAAAAAUUAUUAGUAUAAUUUAGAAAAAAUAUAGGAUUGGAAAUUUUUAUUAUUAAUAUAAUGUUAUAAUAAGUUUUUUUUGUUUAUAUUGAUUUAUUUAUAAUUUUAAGUUUUUUAUUAAAAUAAUUUAUUAAAUAAUAAAAUUAAUGAAAUAAUGAUAAAAUUAGUAUAUAUUUAUUAAUGUUUAAUUUAUUUAAAGUUUAAGUUUAAGUUAAGUAAUUCGGCAAAAUAAUAAUUUCCGCCUGUUUAUUAAAAACAUGUCUUUUUGAUUAUAAUUUAAAGUCUGACCUGCUCAAUGAAAUUUUAAAUAGCCGUAGUAUUUUGACUAUGCUAAGGUAGCAUAAUAAUUAGUUUCUUAAUUAGGAACUGGAAUGAAUGGUUGGACGAGAAAUUUACUGUCUCAAUUUAAUGUAAAUUAGAAUUUUAUAUUUAAGUUAAAAAGCUUAAAUUUAUUUAAAAGACGAGAAGACCCUAUAGAGUUUUAUAUACUUUAAAAUAUUGAAAAUUUAAGAAUUUUAUUUUAUUUAUUUGAAAUUGUAUUUAAUUGGGGUGAUUGAAAAAUUAAUAAAACUUUUUUUAAGAAAUAAAACAUUAAUUUAUGAUAAAUUGAUCCAUUAUUUAUGAUUAUAAGAUUAAAUUACCUUAGGGAUAACAGCGUUAUUUUUUUUAGAGUUCUUAUCGAAUAAAAAGUUUGCGACCUCGAUGUUGGAUUAAAAUUAACUUUUGGUGUAGGGACUGGAAGGUUAGGUCUGUUCGACCUUUAAAAUUUUACAUGAUCUGAGUUUAGACCGGCGUGAGCCAGGUCGGUUUCUAUCUUUAAAAAAUUAAAAUAUUUUAGUACGAAAGGAUUUAAUAUUUAUAAAAAUUAUUGAAAUUAGAAUUUUAUUAAUUAAU
rnacentral:rRNA from 1 species